ACUCCUACGGGAGGCAGCAGUAGGGAAUCUUCCACAAUGGACGAAAGUCUGAUGGAGCAACGCCGCGUGAACGAUGAAGGCCUUCGGGUCGUAAAGUUCUGUUGUAAGGGAAGAACAAGUGCCGCAGGCAAUGGCGGCACCUUGACGGUACCUUGCGAGAAAGCCACGGCUAACUACGUGCCAGCAGCCGCGGUAAUACGUAGGUGGCAAGCGUUGUCCGGAAUUAUUGGGCGUAAAGCGCGCGCAGGCGGCCUCUUAAGUCUGAUGUGAAAGCCCCCGGCUCAACCGGGGGAGGGCCAUUGGAAACUGGGAGGCUUGAGUAUAGGAGAGAAGAGUGGAAUUCCACGUGUAGCGGUGAAAUGCGUAGAGAUGUGGAGGAACACCAGUGGCGAAGGCGACUCUUUGGCCUAUAACUGACGCUGAGGCGCGAAAGCGU
rnacentral:rRNA from 1 species